rnacentral:rRNA from 1 species
UACGAGGGGGGCAAGCGUUGUUCGGAAUUAUUGGGCGUAAAGGGUGCGUAGGCGGUUUUGGUAAGUCUUAUGUGAAAUCUACAGGCUCAACUUGUAGUCUGCAUGAGAAACUGCCGGGCUUGAGUAUGGGAGAGGUGAGUGGAAUUCCUGGUGUAGCGGUGAAAUGCGUAGAUAUCAGGAGGAACACCUGUGGCGAAAGCGGCUCACUGGACCAUAACUGACGCUGAGGCGCGAAGGCUAGGGGAGCGAACGGG